rnacentral:rRNA from 1 species
AGUGAAUAGAUACCCCGGUAGUCCCAGCCGUAAACGAUGCUCGCUAGGUGUCAGGCAUGGCGCGACCGUGUCUGGUGCUGCAGGGAAGCCGUGAAGCGAGCCACCUGGGAAGUACGGCCGCAAGGCUGAAACUUAAAGGAAUUGGCGGGGAGCACAACAACGGGUGGAGCCUGCGGUUUAAUUGGACUCAACGCCGGACAACUCACCGGGGGCGACAGCAAUAUGUAGGCCAGGCUGAAGACCUUGCCUGAAUCGCUGAGAGGAGGUGCAUGGCCGUCGCCAGUUCGUACUGUGAAGCAUCCUGUUAAGUCAGGCAACGAGCGAGACCCGUGCCCACUGUUACCAGCAUGUCCUCCGGGACGAUGGGUACUCUGUGGGGACCGCCGAUGUUAAAUCGGAGGAAGGUGCGGGCCACGGUAGGUCAGUAUGCCCCGAAUCUCCCGGGCUACACGCGGGCUACAAUGGAUGGGACAAUGGGUCCUCCCCUGAAAACGGGCUGGUAAUCUCACAAACCCAUUCGUAGUUCGGAUCGAGGGCU